rnacentral:rRNA from 1 species
GAUGAACGCUGGCGGCGUGCCUAAUACGUGCAAGUCGAGCGAACGGACGAGAAGCUUGCUUCUCUGAUGUUAGCGGCGGACGGGUGAGUAACACGUGGAUAACCUACCUAUAAGACUGGGAUAACUUCGGGAAACCGGAGCUAAUACCGGAUAAUAUUUUGAACCGCAUGGUUCAAAAGUGAAAGACGGUCUUGCUGUCACUUAUAGAUGGAUCCGCGCUGCAUUAGCUAGUUGGUAAGGUAACGGCUUACCAAGGCAACGAUGCAUAGCCGACCUGAGAGGGUGAUCGGCCACACUGGAACUGAGACACGGUCCAGACGCCUACGGGAGGCAGCAGUAGGGAAUCUUACGCAAUGGGCGAAAGCCUGACGGAGCAACGCCGCGUGAGGGAUGAAGGUCUUCGGAUCGUAAAACUCUGUUAUUAGGGAAGAACAUAUGUGUAAGUAACUGUGCACAUCUUGACGGUACCUAAUCAGAAAGCCACGGCUAACUACGUG